rnacentral:rRNA from 1 species
CCUACGGGAGACAGCAGUGGGGGAUAUUGCACAAUGGGGGAAACCCUGAUGCAGCGACGCCGCGUGGGCGAAGAAGUAUUUCGGGAUGUAAAGCCCUAUCAGCAGGGAAGAAGAAAUGACGGUACCGGAGUAAGAAGCACCGGCUAAAUACGUGCCAGCAGCCGCGGUAAGACGUAGGGUGCAAGCGUUAUCCGGAUUUACUGGGGGGAAAGGGAGGGAAGGCGGAACGGCAAGCCUGAUGUGAAAGCCCGCGGCCCAACCGCGGGACUGCAUUGGGAACUACCGGGCUGGAGUGCCGGAGCGGUAGGCGGACUUCCUAGUGUAGCGGUGACAUGCGUAGAUAUUAGG